rnacentral:rRNA from 1 species
UACGUAGGGGGCAAGCGUUGUCCGGAUUUAUUGGGCGUAAAGAGCGUGUAGGCGGCCAGAUAGGUCCGUUGUGAAAACUCGAGGCUCAACCUCGAGACGUCGGUUGAAACCGUACGGCUAGAGUCCGGAAGGGGAGAGUGGAAUUCCCGGUGUAGCGGUGAAAUGCGCAGAUAUCGGGAAGAACACCCGUGGCGAAGGCGGCUCUCUGGGACGGUACUGACGCUGAGACGCGAAAGCGUGGGGAGCGAACAGG